rnacentral:rRNA from 1 species
UACGGGGGGGGGCAAGCGUUGUUCGGAAUUACUGGGCGUAAAGGGCCAGUAGGCGGCCAACUAAGUCGGAUGUGAAAUCCCCAGGCUCAACUUGGGAACUGCAUCCGAUACUGGAUGGCUUGAAUUCGGGAGAGGGAUGCAGAAUUCCAGGUGUAGCGGUGAAAUUCGUAGAUAUUAGGAAGAACACCAGUGGCGAAGGCGGCUCACUGGCCCGGUACUGACGCUGAGGCGCGAAAGCGUGGGGAGCAAACAGG